UGCAUCCUUAACAGUGAGGGGUGUGGUCCAAUUGAUGCCAGAGAGACAAAAAAACAUGCUCCAUAAUUCUGAGGCCACCUCACAAUGAAGAAGAAGGUGUCUGGGGUUUCAGCCUCUUUUUUGCACAUAUAGCAUCUGUUUGGGAAUUGGAUUUUUCUUUUCUUUAUGUUGUCUUGGGUGAGACUUGCCUCAUAUAGAGCUGUCCAGGU